rnacentral:rRNA from 1 species
UGGCGGACGGGUGAGUAAUGUCUGGGAACCGCCCGAUGGAGGGGGAUAACUACUGGAAACGGUAGCUAAUACCGCAUAACGUCGCAAGACCAAAGAGGGGGACCUUCGGGCCUCUUGCCAUCGGAUGUGCCCAGAUGGGAUUAGCUAGUAGGUGGGGUAACGGCUCACCUAGGCGACGAUCCCUAGCUGGUCUGAGAGGAUGACCAGCCACACUGGAACUGAGACACGGUCCAG